rnacentral:rRNA from 1 species
AGUCAUAUGCUUGUCUCAAAGAUUAAGCCAUGCAUGUCUAAGUAUAAACAACUUUAUACUGUAAAACUGCGAACGGCUCAUUAUAUCAGCAAUUAUUUAUUUGAUGGUUCCUUACUACAUGGAUAACUGUGGUAAUUCUAGAGCUAAUACAUGCGUAAAAUCCCGACUCUCGCGGGGAGGGAUGUAUUUAUUAGAUAAAAAACCAAUGCGGGCUUGCCCGGUCUUGUGGUGAAUCAUAGUAACUUUUCGGAUCGCAUAGCUUCACGCUGGCGAUAGUUCAUUCAAAUUUCUGCCCUAUCAGCUUUCGACGGUAGUGUAGUGGACUACCGUGGCGUUAACG